UCCCCCGCGCGCCUAGGUGUUGCGCACGACCAGCGACUGCUCCAGCUCCUGCCUGCGCUGCUGGAUCUGUAAGGAAAGGAGAGCAGGCGCAGCGCUCCCUGAGGUCCCCUUCACCUUAAGGUCCCGGCUCUGGGAGCGGAGGAGGUCCUGGAUGUAGCCCUUGGGGUCUCUGGAGAAGCUCAGCAUGAAGUCCCUCUGGAUCUUGAGCUGGUUGAUGGACUCAAUCGUCUCGUGGAUCUGCAGCGCUGGGCUCCAGCCCCACCUUACUGUCCAGAGCGCUGAUCUCCUGCUGGUUGGCCGUGGACAGCAGGAAGCUGCUCAUCUGCCCCUUCAGGGGCUCCUCCACCUCCAC